rnacentral:rRNA from 1 species
UGAGUAACGCGUGGGUAACCUGCCCUAAAGUAGGGGAUAACAUCUCGAAAGGGAUGCUAAUACCCUAUAAGGUCCCUUUGUCGCCUGGCAGAGGGAAGAAAGGACUUUUAGUUCGCUUUAGGAUGGGCCCGCGUCCCAUUAGCUAGUUGGUAGGGUAAAGGCCUACCAAGGCGACGAUGGGUAGCCGGCCUGAGAGGGCGACCGGCCACACUGGGACUGAGACACGGCCCAGACUCCUACGGGAGGCAGCAGUCGGGAAUAUUGGGCAAUGGGGGAAACCCUGACCCAGCAAUGCCGCGUGAGCGACGAAGGCCUUCGGGUUGUAAAGCUCUGUCCUUGGGGAAGAAGAUGACGGUACCCAAGAAGAAAGCCACGGCUAACUACGUGCCAGCAGCCGCGGUAACACGUAGGUGGCGAGCGUUGUCCGGAAUUACUGGGCGUAAAGGGCGAGUAGGCGGCCUUUAAAGUCAGAUGUGAA